rnacentral:rRNA from 1 species
UGAGCAAUCCGCCCUUCUCAUCGGAAUAAGCGUUGGAAACGACGUCUAAUGCCGAAUACGACCUCCUUUCGCAUGAUCGGAGGUGGAAAGCUCCGGCGGAGAAGGAUGAGCUCGCGGCCUAUCAGCUAGUUGGUGUGGGUAAUGGCCCACCAAGGCGACGACGGGUAGCCGGCCUGAGGAGGGUGACCGGCCACACUGGGACUGAGACACGGCCCAGACCUCCGUACGGGAGGNAGCG